rnacentral:piRNA from 1 species
CGGAAGCAUAAUUUUUUGAUACC